rnacentral:rRNA from 1 species
CUUGUACACACCGCCCGUCACACCAUGGGAGUUGGUUCUACCUUAAGUCGUCCAGCUAACCGCAAGGAGGCAGACGCCCACGGUAGGGUCAAUGACUGGGGUG